GAUGAACGCUAGCGGCAGGCUUAACACAUGCAAGUCGUGGGGCAGCGCGGACUUCGGUCUGGCGGCGACCGGCAAAACGGGUGCGGAACACGUACGCAACCUCCCUCAGAGCGGGGAAUAGCCUCUCGAAAGAGAGAUUAAUACCCCAUAGUAUCUUGAAGACACAUGUCUAUGAGAUUAAAGCUUCGGCACUUUGAGAUGGGCGUGCGGCUGAUUAGGUAGUUGGUAGGUAACGGCCUACCAAGCCGACGAUCAGUAGCUGAUGUGAGAGCAUGAUCAGCCACACGGGCACUGAGACACGGGCCCGAUCCACGGGAGCAGCAGUGAGGAAUAUUGGUCAAUGGAGGAAACUCUGAACCAGCCAUGCCGCGUGGAGGAUGAAAGGUCCUCUGGAUUGUAAACUCCUUUUAUAAAAGAAGAAACCCCAUUUUUCUAAAUGGGUUGACGGUACUUUAUGAAUAAGC
rnacentral:rRNA from 1 species